GCCGAAUGGUCAUCAGGACGAAUUGAAAGUUAGCCGUUGAUUUUACCUUUUCCAACAAGUUUUGCCAAAAACUAGUUUAACAAUGAAACUAGAAAGAAUAGCCUAUGUUUUAAAGAAGGAAAAAAUUGAUAAUUGAAUAUCAGCAGUUUCAGCGCCAAAAACUAUUUUAGCAAAAGAAAGAACAGCCUAUAUUUAAAAGAAGGAAAAAUUCAUGGGUAAAAUAUCAGUAGAUUCAGCAUCAAUAAAGUAUCUUCGUGCCUGUCACACGAUACACACAUGCAAAAUGGUCAUUUGCAGAGGAAGCUCUCAGUUAAUAACUGUGGAAGCUGAGAAGCAGGCGUUGUCUCAGUGGGGACGUAACGGCAAGAAGAAGACCCAAUGACCAUUCGGCCUGAUGACCUUCGGCCGAAUGGCAUGACACCGGAUUACGAGACGAACUCUACUAGGAGUAGUCUUGAUACAAUCUCUUAAAAAACGAACAACAAUCUCAAGAGGAUCACUGCAAGAACAAAAUCCUGGAAACAACUCCGAGCAAAAGCACAACUUUUGAAAAAAAAAUCGAGGAAGAACUUCGUGAGCAAAGCAGCAAAAGCUCCUGCAGAAAUCCGAAAAAGAAACUCCGGCACCAAAAGCGGAUUUUUGUUCAGGAUUCAAUGCAAAGGUUUUUUUUCGAACUUGCUCCCACAGUACCUUUUGAGAGUUUUCCGGUGUUCAGUUCGGAAUUUUUGAGAGUUGUUUUUAGGAUUUCUACUAGAGCAGGAUUUUUUUUUCACGUGGUCUCUAUAGGAAUAUUUAUCGGGUUUUUUUCUGAGGUUUUUCCGAUUUCGUCCAGAGUUUCUCAUUCCUUCCACAGAUCCUUCCCAAAUUCAUCCAAGUUUUUUUUCAGGAAUUAGUCUUUGUGAUUUUCCAGGAUGGCUUUUCAACAGUUAUUUCCGGGAUUUUGGCAAGAAAUUAUUUCAGAGAGUUUUCCAAGAUUUCUCUUGGAAUUCUUCGUGGGAUUUCGCCCCUAGUUUUUUCCGGAAUUUCGAUAUUUCUCUUGUUUUCAGAUUUCCUCCUGAAAUUUCCCUAAUGCUUCUUCUGGUGAUUACUUCCAGAUUUGUUUUUCUAGAUAUCUCGCAACUGGAUCUCGGAACGAUUUGUGGUAGGGAUCACGGGACAAAUUCUACUAGGAAUAGUCCUGGUACAUUCUCUAAAAAAAGAACAAAAAAAUUAAGAGGACCACUGCAAGAAAUCCUGGAAACCUUUGAAAAACUGCGUGAAGAACUUCAUGAGAAAAUCAGCAAAAGCUCUUGCAGCAAUCCUAAAAAGGAACUCCAAUUGCAGAUUUAUUCAGGAAUUUCUCUCAAGAUUCCAUCUAGAGGAUUUUGACGAGAAUCCUACAGAAUAUCAUUCCAGAAUUUCUUCCGUAGAGUUCUCCGGCAUUGCUCUCUUUCCUGCUUUUUCGUCAAAUUUUCGUGGAAUUCCCACAAAAGUGUCUUUCAGAAUAUCUCUCAGAUGUUGUGGAAUUUAUUCUCGAGUUUCUCUUGGGGUUUUGCGAUUCCUUCCGGUUCUUCUUUUGGGGUUUCCCAGAAGUUCUUCAUGGGAUUAGUCCCAGAGUUUCUACAGCAGUUAUUCCUGGGAUUUUUAUUAGACUUCUCCGAAGAUUUCUUGAGAAGUUGUUUACGAAUUUUCUGCAGGAGUUUCUUCUGGGACAUCUGGCAAAGUUCUCUGUAAUCUCUUCCAAAAAAUUUCGAAAUUUCCGUGCGAAACUCGAAACUUGAAAGAAAAAAUUCUCAUGAGAUUUAUACAGGAGUUUCAGUCGCAAUAUUUCCUAAAGGUUCUCGCGGGAUUUCUUUUUAACUUUCACUUAAGAUUUCUUUUGGAGUUUCUUCCGAUUCUCUCAGAAAAUUUCCUCCGAUGUUGGUGCUGUUUCUGGUCGGUCGGUUUUCUUGGGCUUUUUGCUAAGAUUUUGUUCGGAUAGCCUUUUGGAAUUUCUGCAGGGGCUAUUGCAGAUAUUUCUCAUGGAGUUCUUCUCGUGAUGUCUUGCAGAUUUUGUUUCUAGGAUUUUCCGCGUAGUUUUUCUCAGGAUUUCUUGCAGGGAUCCUCCUAAGAUUAUGUUUUGCAGAUUUUCUCGGGACUAUUCCCAGAACACUUCCCGGAACCCCUAACGGGAAUUGUCCGGAUAUUCUGGGUGAUCUUUCAGGAAUUUCCAUUGAGUUUCUCCCGAAGUUCUUGCAGGGGUUUUAUCAGAAGUUUUUGUUUUCGAAAUGUCUCCUGGGAUAACUUACUAAAUGCCCUGUAUAAAACUCCUGGAGAAAUAACGGAAGGAUUCCAGAUGAAAUCUUGCGAAAGACUCUGCAAGACCAUUUUGGAGAAAUCUUAAGAGGAACUUAGGAAGAAAUCAUUGGGAAAACUGGGAAAUCACAGAAAAACCUAUUGACGAAAUCUCGGGAAGAGUUUGAAGAGAAAUAACGGAAAGCUCUGCAAGAAUCUCGUAAAAAUCCUAGGAGAAACUGUUGAAAAGCUAUCCUGAAAACCCUCCGGAUGGAAACUUGAGAAAACUGGAUAAAGCUAGAAAAAAAAAUCGAGAAAACCUUCAGAAAAAUUUGCUAUAGAAAUGCCGGCAGGAUCUUUUUGGAAAAUGUGCGAAAAAUUCGUUAAUAAAUCUUGGAUGAACCCUAGUAGAAAUUGCAGUAGUUAUUCUGUAGAAAUUCUAGGAGAAAUCCCGAGAGGAACACCGGAAGGAACCGCUACAAAAUGUUCAAGCAAAAUCGAGAAAAAAAAUUCAACAUUUUGCGACAAGAUCUGAGAAAUAAGCAGAGGAAAACUCUUGUUGAGAUCCCAGGAUAAACCCUUGGAAGCAAUCCCCCGGAAACGCAGAAGGAACUCCGGGAUAAAUCCCGCGAGGGACUCUGGGAGCAAUUCCGAAAAAACACUAUGGAAGAAAUUUAGGAAAGAAAUUCUGCAAUAUACCCGUGAAAAGCUCAAGAAGAAAUCGUUCGAAAUUAAACAAUCCUAGAUUUUCAAGAAGGAAUUCCGGAGAGAGUUGUUUGAUUAUUGAAAAAUGUCGGUAGGAUUUCACUUUGGCGAUUCCCUAACCUCAAAUCUAUCUGUUUUUUUUUUUUUUGUUAUUUUUGAAUAUUCUCAUCAAAUUAGCUUGUAAUUUGUAGAAAAUGAUGAAAACAGGGAUUUUCGUCCAUUUUCAAUUUGAUUCUAAUCAUGAAUUCUCCGCAAAGGCAUGUUUUAGGGUCAUUAAACAGGUGAAAAGUGAGGUUACGAGACGCCACUGGGAUUUCGGAAGAACCUCUGGGAGGAAUUCAAGAAAAAAAGCCGUGAAAAAAUGUGACAUGCCUCCGCAUGGAAUUUACAGUAUCUUUGCGAAAUCGGUGAUCGGCUUUCCGGUAAUAUCUGUUUGAUCUAGGAGCGCUCAUCUAGUUCCUCUAGCACGACUAAUCAGAUUCCUUUUUGAUUUAACUUGCUUUUUGAAUAAUCAUCCAGAGGAAUCUUCAAUUUUGUCACGGAAUCACAAGCUUCCAGUGAGAUCCUUCAGCAUUAUAAGACAAAUGUUUGUUUGUACUACUUGCAGGUUAUGAAAGCUCAUUUCCUAGAGAAGUCUACACUACAUAGGUAAUUCAAAACUUUUUUAAUCAUAACAAUGUUUAUGUGGACUUCGUAUCUGAGCAGAUACUACAAGUAGUAAAGUUCGCUACUUUUCAUUCAUAAGACCUACAACAUUUCAGUUUCAUAGCAGAAUUUAAUGGUAGUUCUUUUACAUAUGUGAAAUUCUGUAAAAUAUUUUCAUUUUUUGAUAAAUUUCUGGAGAUUCUUUUGAUAUUUUUAUCCAUAGAAACUUCAAUGUUUGUAAUGAACUUUAUUGAAUAUUCGAUGAGCAUCUCUAUCCGUCAUAAAAAAUUACAUUCUACUAAAACUCUGUAGAUAAGCGAGUUCACACCUUUUAUUAACUAUUUGCCUACAGUGCCCCCUACAGAAAACCCUAAAUAUGGGUGGUUAAAUCUACAUACACUUCCGCCGGGAGAACUUCAAUCUCACAUCAGUACAGCAACUCUCUGCAAUUGGUUUGUCCUCUGAUAAAUUUAUUGUUUUUACAAUUCAAUGUAUGUUAGCUAAAAAGGUUCAUAAUAGACAACAUCAAAUGCAUAUUUAAAAGGACCUUCCAGAGGAAUCCCUGGAGUUUUUGGGAAAAGUCCUGAUGAAACUUCUAGAUGGAUGCCUAAAGGAAUUUCUUAACGAGAUAUUUGAAGGAAUCCUUGUGUCGCUCCCCCCGGUUAAAUCUUUGUGGAAAUUCUGGAGGAAUUCCAGGAGCAGAAGUAUGUUAAUUUAUCCCAGUUGGAAUGUUACACCGCAAAGAAGAAGAAUGAAAUAUAAGCUAGAAAUACUAAAUUCUAGUUAAACGUAUAGUUGAAGAAGGAAAUCUCUAGUAACGAGUUAUGUAUCAGUAAGCUUUGAAAACUACCGUUGUGAAUAGUUGAACAACAUUUUACCCAAAAUUUAUACACACAACCAUUGAUAUUCGAAAUCCAUAACAAAACUCUGCCUGCAAGAAUGCAAAGCUACUAUAAAAAUGAACAAAGAAAAGUGUCUUAAUCUGCACCUGUUGAAAAUUUUACAAAAAUUUUGCACUUUCCUAUUUUCAAAAGUUUUUCCCCCAUUAAUCACGACGAGAUACGUGUCCGGUCCUAAAUAUAGCGUGCCAUCAAGAGGCUCGCCCAAACCAACGUCCCUAACAUAGAGAGGCCUUAUUCGCCCUGUGUUCCCAAGUGGGCUGUUUUAGAGCGCAACGUAAUAAUGCAGAGCUGCUCGAUCUCAAUGCCUAGUGAUGUUGAUCCUUGUUUUUUUUACAUAACGCAUUCAUAUUUAGCGGUUUUUAUACAGCGCUCGAGGGUUAAACAUAAACACAGAAGAUAUACUCAUAAUAUUUAGGAAAUCCAGGAAAACCGCCGAACAAUUGGGAGGCCUUCACUUAUUGAAAUGCCACGAUUCAUCCGUCCCCCGUGUCGGAUGAGCGGUGGCAACAUUGUGCCUACACGCAGACAGAUAAACAGACGAAACCAGUGUUGCCAUACUUACCAAGACGUGAUCGAAAGAAUUCUGUGCUUUGUUUUACAUUCGCUGGAAAUGCCUUAUAAGUUUUUUUUCAUCCGGAAGCGGACGGUCAGUGCCUCAUCAAAGUGUUAUACAAACGAACAGCUUUUUUUAGCUUUUGCGAAGAAAAUGAAUGAAUAAAACAUUUUUACUUUGAACGUUUGACGGAGAAGUUUGUGAAUCGAGUGAUUUGAUGAAAGCUGAAAAACAUGAAACAAGAACAAAAAACAAAACAGAACCCUAUUUUGCUCAUUUAGUGAUGUAAUUCAGAUAGCGUAGAAGAACAAUGAAACCAGUUUUGAUGUUAUGAUGUCGGGUGACGUAAUUGAAAUAGAAUCCAUUACCGAAUACAAAUCUAUUUUAAAACUAAAUCUAAACUUUAACAUUCACCGGAUUCCCUAGGGCGAAUAGUAUGAAACGGAAGAGGGCUGUCGGUUUGGCAUAUAAUUAGUUCGCAUGAUAGUUUUCAUAAAGCAAAGCUGUUCGUUCCUUUUUUGUGCAUGAUCUGGAAAUCGAACUUUGAAAUAGAUCGUUUUUGGCGAAAGAACGCUGAUAAACGACUAGGAAGGAACUAAACUCUAGCGUAGUUAUGGUAUGCUUCGUUUCGUAGGUUGGCGAUUGGAUACCAAUAAUAUUCAUGUUCCUUUUGGUAUUUUUGUUCAAACUGCUCGGUAACACGAAUGGGGAGUUACCAUUGUUACCAUCUGUACCUAAGUGGUCUCCCCUAAAGUCCUUAAACAUCUUAAAAGAGCAUCGAAAUACGUUAUUUCAGAACCCUAAAGGGCAAUCUUAAGAACUCUUAAUGACAUCUUGACCAGUUCUCGGAGGUCAUAUUAUGUUUCUCAUGUCAUGAGCAAUACAAAAUGAACAAAAACAGAAAUUUCGAAUUUUUAUUCGCAAAAAUACAGGCAGCCUCAUGGACAGCCUUUUUAAUUUGGAAAACUAUGCAUCUUUGCUUAUGCGAAACGAUUGUAUGCCAAAUGACAUUUCCUCUAAUAAAUGUGUCACUCGAUUCAAAAACACAAAUAUCAUUGAUAUUCCAACAUCAAUAACAAAUAAAAAAAAACCUGGACGGUGGAAGAGGAACACAUGUUUGCAAAUAACGAUAAAAAUAUCCGUACCAGUGCUUAUCAGACAAACCAUCAUCAUUCGAACAGUAAGUAAAAUAAACACACACUAUAAAAAGGCCAUUACUCUCACACUGACAGUGUUGUUGUAAUUUAAAGAUAACUGAUGAAACUACUGCAGUUGUAAUACUACAAUCCAAAAUUCUCAGAUAGCCGAUAUGUAUGUGUAUUUAGUAAUAAUGACAAGAAAACGUGUCGUCUAAAGUGUUUCAAUAGUGCAUAAUGUAGGAAGAAAACACUCACAUAAAACGGAGCUAACGGUAAUAAAAGAGACAUUUUACUUAAGAUUCGAUAAAUCAAUGACAGAGAAUGUUCGUGUGAUGGAAAACAACAUAGAAGUUUAGAAGCAAGCAAAUCAUACGAUCGAGAUAUAAACUACUUAAAAGCAUAGUAACAAUAAUAAAUCAAAGGUAAUAGUGUUUUAGUUAGAGAGAUGUGAAAAUGCAUAUUAGAAUAAUACUUGGCUGAAAGAUAAUCACACAUGAAAGGAUAAGAAAGAUAAAGAAUCCUUCGCAGUGAAUAAUGCAAAUAAAAAUAGCAUGAAAAAGCGAUGGCACGGAACUGCAGAAUAAUAGCAUAUUGAUCGAAACAAAACUCUAUCUCUACAACACGUAUGCAAGUGAAAACUGAGACAGCAACGUUAAAUAAUACAUAUUUUCGUGGCAUAUUAUUUUUAAAUCCUACAGAGAACACAAACACCUGCAAACACAAAAAAAGAUAAUUAAAAGUAAAACAAGCAACCACAAAAGCGGGAAAGCAUCUUAAGAUCUAAUCUUAGUAAAAAUUAGAGAAAAAAUCCGAUAAAUCAACAGCAAAAUACUAAAUUUAAAUCGGAAAAAAUGUAAGAGAAAAUGACACACAUUAAGAAAAUCCAUCUUUGAUCUCACAUGUCAUUCUAAGUAAUGCUUGACAUUUUCUAUUAUUCGUAACAAUCGAAAUCCGUGAAAUUCCAUCGAGGCACUUCCCCCGUGGAACCAGUUGAGACUCAUCGAUGCACAUCGCACACAUACACACACAAACAAUCAUCGUCGUCACACAACACAUACACACACGAAAUCAUACAAAACCCUGAUCAUCGAUCGGAACAGUGAAGUGUUGAUUGAAGGCCGAUUGACGCAAAUUGUAUAAGAUUUAAAAUUACACACUAAACACAGCAACAAAAGUAUUGAUACAAACAUAGCAAAAAAAAAAAACAAAAACAAACGGAAAUAAUUCUUCCCGGCAGGUAUCGAGGAAAGCUGUUGUAGGUAAAUUGUAGGAGUGUUUGGGAAAGGACUAUGCUAUGGAAUGGGAAAUCCCACUACCCUUGCACUACUAAAACUACUACUAGUGUGAGAGGUAGGAUUCGGCAAAACAAUAGAAAAAUAAGAAAGUAAAUAAAAUGAGAUAAAAGAAAAGCAAGAACAAAAUGAAUGAGGAGAAGGAAUUUGAAGAGAAUAACAAUGGAAUACUAUAUCAUUUAAAAGUAAUUGAAAUUGUAAAUCAGUAAGUGAAGAAUGAAUCAAUAAAAUCAAUAAAAAAUGUA